CCUACGGGAGGCAGCAGUGAGGAAUAUUGGUCAAUGGACGAGAGUCUGAACCAGCCAAGUAGCGUGAAGGAUGACUGCCCUAUGGGUUGUAAACUUCUUUUAUAUGGGAAUAAAAUGUUCCACGUGUGGGAUUUUGUAUGUACCAUAUGAAUAAGGAUCGGCUAACUCCGCGCCAGCAGCCGCGGUAAUACGGAGGAUCCGAGCGUUACCCGGAUUUAAUGGGUUUAAAGGGAGCGUAGGUGGAUUGUUAAGUCAGUUGUGAAAGUUUUCGGCUCAACCGUAACAUUGCAGUUGAUACUGGCAGUCUAGAGUUCAGUAGAGGUGGGCGGAAUUCGAGGUGUAGCGGUGAAAUGCUUAGAUAUCACGAAGAACUCCGAUUGCGAAGGCAGCUCACUGGACUGAAACUGACGCUGAGGCUCGAAAGUGUGGGUAUCAAACAGGAUUAGAUACCCUAGUAGUC
rnacentral:rRNA from 1 species